ACACGCGAUAAACAAUUCACUAAGAGAAAAGAUUACAAGGUGAUUACCGACUCCACGGACUCUGCCUCUCUUAACCUCCUAUGAAUCUCGCGCAAUCCUCCGGGUUGUCCACGCCCUCACGUUCGAAUCCACGAACACCUCCACUCCGAAUCCACGAAGCUUCAAUCACGCCGAAUCCACGACGCCACUCGAAUCCACGAGCCCACGAUCCGAAUCCACGAACCGCCGUCAAACACGUCGAAUCCACGACGCCACCAUGAAGAAUAUCAUGAAUAU
rnacentral:lncRNA from 1 species